UACGUAGGUGGCAAGCGUUAUCCGGAAUUAUUGGGCGUAAAGCGCGCGCAGGCGGUUUCUUAAGUCUGAUGUGAAAGCCCACGGCUCAACCGUGGAGGGUCAUUGGAAACUGGGGAACUUGAGUGCAGAAGAGAAAAGCGGAAUUCCACGUGUAGCGGUGAAAUGCGUAGAGAUGUGGAGGAACACCAGUGGCGAAGGCGGCUCGCUGGAACGGUACUGACGCUGAGACGCGAAAGCGUGGGGAGCAAACAGG
rnacentral:rRNA from 1 species